CCAUUCUAGAAUACACUAUCAGUAAAAUUUUGUCUUCCCUAAUCAAUGUUGGAAACCUGAACUUCUGCAACAAGAAACCAGUCCUGUGUAUGCGUAUAUAGUUACUUUGGUUCCAUUCUCCAUCCCUACAGAUCAAGAAUAAUAUCCCAGAAAAGGGAUCUGUCAGCAGGAGUACACGUUUCUUUGGCUUAUAAUGUGAGUCACUGAGGAGUAUUUAGAGUCAUCAAAGCUCAGUGGCAAGACAAAAUUCAAGAUGAUUGGCAAUGGCCCAAUAUACAUCAACCUAACCGAGCCAAGUCCUGAAGCCAACUGGAAAUAUCCCAAUACUGGUGAUUCUUGGGGAAACACCAACUUAAAAUUCCAGGAAUACUGUUGGAAUCCUAGUGUCAACUCAACUCGGA